CAGCUAUGUAAAAAAUAUGACAUUAACUUUCUGUAAUUCAUCUAAUUUUAUUUUUGAAACCCUAAGUCAUUGGCCUGGGACAAAAACCUGAUCUCAGUCAGUUGGGAAUUUCCUACUUUUAGUCUCAUUUGAGGUGUAUGAGGGGAGAUCUCUAUGUUAACCAGGGAAGGGCAGGGAAAAUGUACUCGUACUCCCCUUGUUCUAAAUGUUAUCUGUUCAUGCAGGAAUCUUCUGAGACAUCCAUCAUCCUAUCUGGUCCACAGUCAUUGAUCCACACCAUUUGCCACUGAGAUGUCAUCAUUUCUGUUUGCCUAUUUCUUCAGGUAUGGUGUUGUGCUCUCACUGUAAUGACAUGUCACAUAUAGGAGAAUUUACAUAAUGCCUAAUUCAAUGUAAAUGCCGUGUAAAUAGUUAUUAUAUUGUUUAGGGAACAGAGACAAGGAAAAAAGUCUGUACAUUUUCAGUUCAGAUGCAACCAGAUGGGUCAAAGGUUUACAUGUAAAGAAAUGAAAGCCACAAAAGAAUUGCAAGAAACUAUUGUGAGGUUUUGAAAAUCAUAAUAAUAGAUGGAGAGAAAAUCCUUUCUGUGUAUGUCACAAGGUUCAAAAACCAGGAAGUUAAUAUUGAUAUAUUAAAUCUAACAUAUAUGUAGCCUGGGUUCAGAAACUCACUUAUAGGUGUAUUCUCCACCAUUUCUACAUCAAUAUACCUGUAAAAGAAGUGCAUGGCAAUGUUGUUUAUAAUUGCUUUUUUUAAUAAAAGGAAUCCAUCAACAACAGAACAGAUAAAUAAACUAUAGUAUAGGUGUAUAGUUAAGAAUUUAACCUUGCCCAAAGAAGUCUGACCUUUGGGAGAUAAUCAAUAAAUCUGUAAAAUAUUGUACCCAAUAGGAGUAUAUUUGUUUGCAAGUAACUUUGGAACUUGUGAUCUAGAUAGUCUUAACACUGUGAUUUAGCAUGGAGGAUAAUCAAUAAGAAAACACCCUACAAUCUAAUAGAUAAAUAGGCAGAAGAUAUGAUCAUACAACUCACAAAAAGAGGAAAAUAUGAAUGGCUCUUAAUUUUAUAAAAGUAUGCUCAAACUUAUUCAUAAUAAGAGAAGUAUAGAUUUAAAUUUAAUUGGAGAGAUUGUUUUUCACCAUCAGAUUAAAGAUUCAAGUUUGUUAUUAAACUUGGUAAAGGUUUAGGGAAGUAGGUACUCUAUCUACUGGUGAGGAAGAAAAUUGUUAAAGCUUCAGUAAAAGGCAAUUUGACAAUAUCUAUUAAAAUUAGAAAUAUAUUUACUCAUUACUCCCAAGUUCUACAUGUAGUAAUUUAUUCUGUAGGUAUUUUCACACACCUAUGAAAAGACAUGUCUACAGGUUAUUUGUAGCAAUAUGACUUGUAAUAUUAAAAUAUUUGAAACAACAUAAAUCUUCACUUCUGAGCCAGGUAUAGUGGUGCACACUUGUAAUCCCAGCAACUCCAGAGGCUGAAACAGGAGGAUUGCAAAUUGGAAGCCAGUCUCAGUAAUUUAGCAAGGUCCUAAGCAACUUAAUGAGACUCUGUCUCAGAUUGAAAAACAAAAAGGGCUGCAGAUGUAACUUAGUGUUCAAGCACCACUGGAUUCAAUCCCCAGUACCAAAAAAUAAAUAAAUAAAAAUAAGAAUUUUUUUAAAAUCUCCAUUUAUGAUAGACUGAUUAAAUCAAUUUGAUACAUUACAAUCACAAAAAAUAUGUAGGAAUUCUUUGCUUACUGAUUAGAAUGGCCUUCAACUAUAUCUGUACAGAAUGGUAUAUAAAAUAUGUUACCAUUUGUGGAAAUAGUGGUGGUGAAGAUAAGAACAUAUAUUCUUAUUAGCCUAUAAGUGCUUACAAAUAUCUUUGGAAAGAUAUGCAAAACAUUUGUAAGAUUUGUUAUUGUCUUUGAGAAAUGUUUUGACCUGAGUGUCUGUGCCCCCCUCCAAAUUUUUUUUUAUUUGUUCUAAUUAGUUAUACAUGGCGGUAGAAUGCAUUUGGACGUAUUGUACACAAAUGGAGCACAACUUCUCAUUCCUCUGGCUGUCCCCAAAAUUUAUAUGUUGAAGUCUUUAUCCCCAAUGUGAUGGUAUUAGGAGGUGGGCCUUUGGGAGGCGAUUGGAUUUAGAUGAGGUUACAAGGGUGGAACCCUUCUGGUGGGAUUAAUGCCUGUAGGAGGAAGAGACACCAGAGCUUUCUCUUUCUAUUCUGUGAAGAUACCAUAAAAGAGGUAGCCUGUAAGCAAAAGUGGUCCCUCACCAGACAUGAGAGCUACUAACACUUCAAUCUUGGACUUCCUAGCUUCUAGAACUGUGAGAAAUAAAUUCUGUUGUGGUAUUUUGUUAUAGCAGUUUUGGGUGACUAAUACAGGGAAAAUUUUGAUGAAUGGGUGACAGGUGAAAAGGAGACCUUUUACCUUUAAAUUUUUAAAUUAUGGUGUAUGUAAUCACUAUCCAAAAAUAAACAGGGGGCUGGGGUUGUGGCUCAGUGGUAGAGCACUUUUCUAUCAUGUGUGAGGCCCUGGGCUCAAUCCUUAGCACCACAUAUAAAUAAAUAAAAUAAAGGUCCAUUGACAACUAAAAAAAACUUUAAAAAUAAAUAGGGUCUAUUUUGUAAUUUAAUUACUCAUUGAUAUAUUUUCAUUUUUAGGAUAAAAGAUAACAUCAAGAAAGAGAAAGAGAAGGAAAAAAGGGGAAACGAUUACAUAUGUCAUCGUUUUAAGGUAUCAUAUAGUUUUAGAAGAUUAUGAUGUAAUACUUUUGAUCAUUGGUUUGCGUUUUCAAUCAGUUUGGUUUGUCAAGAUCAUAAUCACAGUGUCCAUGGUGUUAAAGAGAAAAUUAUGUGUAUUAUUUUUUUCUUGUUAGUUUUAUCUACAAUAUAUAGAUAUUUUAAAAUUUACAUUGUCAUCUCUUAAAUAUCUGUAAUAAGAUAAAUAGAGUAGAUUUAUGUACUCCAAAACAGCAAAAAGACCUAUUGCAUUAUUUUCAAUCCAUGUACCUUCAAAGAGUAAUAUUCACUGAACAGUUACCUACUUUUAAAUUUUAUUUUUUUAAAAAUAUAUGUGUAACAUAGCUUCAUGUAUUGUCCUUGGAAUCAUUUAGUAUAGUUAAAAUACAGAAUUACCAGGUCCUUAGAAAAGAAACCUAUUGAAAAAUUUAAAAUAACUAUCAAAAUAAAUAUGAUAAAAAUGACAACAUUGGUUUUCAUCUUAUAUUUUAUCUUGUGUAUAAUAUUGUUGGGGUAAUAUGCACUCUUCCAAAUCAGGUGCUUAUAGAUACAUUAAGAAAUUAUUUUAGCUUGUUAAACCUGGUAUUCAAACUUGAAUACUUCAUAUUUAUAACUGUAACUAUAUUUCUGUUUGUAUUUGUCCAAACUUUUCUACGUGUUCCAAAAAGGCAGAGACUUCUAGAACAUAAAUGCUGUCUUAAGAGUACAGUUCUCUGAGACCCAGAACAGUGAUUAAUCUGUUUCAAAUUAGUAAACCUUGUAAGCCUCCCCAAAAGGAGACAAUGGUGUUUGAGUCAAACAUCAAAAGAUGAAUGGAUUCUAGUUGGCAGGAAAAAAGGGUAAGAGCAUUCCAGGCUGAGGGCAAAGCAUUAGCUGAGGCAAAAGGAGCAAAAGUCUAUUUUGGAUCAGAAAAUGUAUAGAUGAAACUACAAGGUAAGAGAUGGCAUGUAACAAAUGAGACCAGAGUAAAGUUUUGGGACUAGUUUGGAUUUUAUUCUGUGGGCAGCAGGAACAUUUGAACACUAAAAAUAGAAAAAAAAUGACAUUCUCUAAUCUCUUAUCUAGAAAGAUAUGUCAAUAUCAGAAUGAUUUGGAAGUAAUAACCUAUAAAAUGCAGUUGUGCCUUAAUGAAGAAGAGAUAUAUUAAUACAGCCAAUUAUAGAUCAAACUAAAGACAGUGACUGUGGGGUUGAUAAGGGAAGAAUAAAUGGAAGAAAUACUGUAUAGUUUGAAUCUGUAUGACCUGGUAUUUGGAUAUGGAAAGUUUGGAAGACAGUUUUGUAAAAAUUCAUUGUUUUAAUGGAAGAAAUCUUAUUAAAGGGGCAUCCCAAAUGUUUUUUUAAAGAGUUUUUUUCUUUUUUAAAAAAUUUAUUUAUUUGUUGUAAUUUGUUAUACAUGACAGUAGAAUGCAUUUCAAUUCAUAGUAUACA
rnacentral:lncRNA from 1 species